rnacentral:rRNA from 1 species
GGGUCGUAAACUUCUUUUAUAUAAGAAUAAAGUGCAGUAUGUAUACUGUUUUGUAUGUAUUAUAUGAAUAAGGAUCGGCUAACUCCGUGCCAGCAGCCGCGGUAAUACGGAGGAUCCGAGCGUUAUCCGGAUUUAUUGGGUUUAAAGGGAGCGUAGGUGGACUGGUAAGUCAGUUGUGAAAGUUUGCGGCUCAACCGUAAAAUUGCAGUUGAUACUGUCAGUCUUGAGUACAGUAGAGGUGGGCGGAAUUCGUGGUGUAGCGGUGAAAUGCUUAGAUAUCACGAAGAACUCCGAUUGCGAAGGCAGCUCACUGGACUGCAACUGACACUGAUGCUCGAAAGUGUGGGUAUCAAACAGGAUUAGAUACCCUGGUAGUCCACACAGUAAACGAUGAAUACUCGCUGUUUGCGAUAUACAGUAAGCGGCCAAGCGAAAGCAUUAAGUAUUCCACCUGGGGAGUA